AAUAAUUUUCUAGGGUUAUCGUGACAAUUUUAAUGUGUACUUUUUAAAUUGAGUGCAACGACUUUGUCUCGAGUCGAUUAAAAUUCGUCGUACUAGCGACAGUGGCGACUCUAGUGGCGGUGGAAGUCAUUGGAAGGUCGUAGAAUCCGGUGUCGUGUUUCCUCGAAGAUACGAGUGCGACUGUCUUCUAUUGUUUCGUUUCCUUUCAUCGAAUCUACUGUGAUGGGAUAGACGAGGGCGUCGUGUGUUUACCUCCGACAUUUCAAAGUUUAAUAACUACAGACGCACUAUCCCGUAUGCGCAACUCGUCGGUAUAUCAGGAAUGUAAGAACGUGAUUGCGAGCAGAAUACUUUCGUCGCGAGACGGAACACGAGGUGACUCAUACUCGCGUCCAUAACGAGAGGCAUCGUCUCGGAAAGGAAAUAGGAAAUGUAAUUCCUUUCGCAAGACAAGGUGACACAGUGGCAUUGACUUCAGCCGUGCUCAAGACCCGGCAGUGCUGUCACGUUUUAGCAAAGAAAUUAGCCCUGAGACAAUUACGCUGCUUUAUGUACCUCCAACGGGGUACAACGAAGCAGUGGCCAAACCCAGUAAAGGAAAUAGGAAAUGUAAUUGCAUUGACGGAACACGAUGGCAGACUAAAGAUGGCCGACUUUACCUAACCUCAACUGCUAAUUGCGUAACUUUGACUGCAUCGGCCUUCCGUAAUCUUCGUGCCUGAUUUCUCAACGUCAUAUCCUGCCUUGUCGAAGAAUUUCAAGUAUGCGACAGUGACAGCUCGAGACGACUUGCCUGCUUUUAGUCCCAUCUGAAUAACUGGAGUGAUUCGAGAUAAGAUAUCCGUAUAAGUGAAAGUCUCUGUUAUCAGUGAAACCGGAAAGGCACUAUCUUGGAAAUUUUUUAUAAAUUCGUUCUUCCGAGAGUUUUUUCUCGUCACUUUCUCUUCUUAAUAUUUUUCACGCAAUUUUUUUGUCAUAUUCAAAAAUUGUAUUUUAACUAAAUCGAAAAUAAUACAAAGACUCGUGUAUGCGUCGGGUACAGCAAUUCACGAUUCAAUGGUAUACACGUUUUUAUGUGUGUCAAAAAAAAAAUAUGCAGUUUCGUAUUCUUGCUAUUGGCAAUUUCAUGGAAAGUCUUUGGAUAUAGGUAGACGUACUUGGGCUCAUCGUUCAGGGCAAUUUUAACGUUGUUACAAUUCGAUACGUUUCGCUGCGCGAAAUGAAAGUCAGGCCGAAGGCUCUUAUAAUCUGAAGAGAUAAGAGAGAAGAAAACAAAUUUUACUGGCACAGUUUCGAGGUUAUGUAUUAUUUAUUCUCCGAUAUCUCUGUGCUAUUUAUAUUACAGUAUCAUUUGUUUCUGACGUUUUUCACAGGAUCUAUGCAGAAUCGAAAAUGACGGAAUUUUAAGUUUCGCGUGUAUUUUCGCAUAAAUAUUUUUUUUUUAUUCCGUGCAAAUGCGUUAUGUAAAUUUAAUCGGAAAUUUACAGUACAACGCAGCUGCAAUUUGCCAGCCGGUGCGUCGGACAGAUGAAAGGAAGAUUCCACUGGAGUCGAGUAACUCGUGGGCAAGAAACGGAUUACGAUUGCAAAAAAAAAAGGAGAUAGGAAAUCCCGAGUUUCUUAAAUAUCUAAACCUGUGCCCGUUAACGUUUGAAUUCUUAAAACACCAAGAGACGCUUUGCGGUACGGCGAAUCCACAACGAGCGACUUCGGACUCUCAGAAUUCUACUGCUGUCCGCACGAAAUUUUCUAUACACUGUCGUUUUAUCCCGUACGACAAAAUCAAUAAUUUUUUGUUCCUUCCAGAGACACGUGCGCGGUGGAAAAAUAGAUACGUGCGUCGCAGGUCAUUCCACGUUGGAAAAGCAAAGAGAAGAAAUAGGAAAGAAAAAAAUACAAAAAAGAUACAAAGAUAUCUACCGAGAGGAACCUCGAAAAAGGAGAGGCUUAUGGACCGCAGGAAUCUCACGUGUUCGAAAUAGAGCACAGUAGGAUAAAUAGAGAAAAAUAAUAGGGAGGAAAUAGAGAGAAAAAAAAUUAAUUGACUGACUUUCCUAACCAAAUUUUUAAUCCUGUUACACGCGACACUGAUUUUUGGUUUUUCGACUAUUAAAAUCAAAAUUCACGUGAGCGACUUGGUAUCGCCUACGAUAAUUCCACAUACUAUCUAAUUGUUCAAAAUUAUAUUUUCUUCAAUUUUAUUAUCCCUCCCCGCGACUAUGCUCAAACUCGAAACCUGACCACCACACCGGACGUACGUUUCAAUGAAAUAUUUACUACUUCGUUUCCUGCAUUUCCGGUGUUUACGUAGCAAAGCGUCAUACAAACGUUUAACAAGACGAAAAUUACAUUACGAUAAACGCGAAACUGUUAUUCAUCAAAUCUAAGAAAUUAUACGACAGUGGCGCCAUCUGGCACGAACUGCAUAAUCCUGAUAUACAAUUAAUUUCCGGGAAGUGACUUAAAAAAAAUUUUUUUAAUUCUGACAAAUAGUACCGAGUUAUCGAAAAACAUGAAUGUACAUACAUAUAUAUAUAUAUAUAUACAUUAUCACCGCAGUAAAGAUAAGAAUGAUAAGAGUAAAUUUUGCCGUUAAAAUUCACCAGUGACGUUACCGAUAACGCUUGACAUUUAAACGUGUCAGCUGAUUCGAUGCUCGGCACUGUCACCGGAAGUCAAUUAGCCAAUAAAUUAAUAGUGAAUCAUAGUGUACGCAAGGAUUGCGCGUUUACGACGUUAUUUUGCAUCCAAACGGCGAACGGAUAUUUUUUUACUAUUUCUCCUGGAAUUCACUUCCGGUUCUUGUACCAAUGAGUAUUUGGAAUUGAAAGUAUUUCUUUAACAUCGUAAUCACUACGUAAGUCAGUUUCGAUGACUGUUGAUGUUUCGUCAUUCGGUAAUGUCAGAUUUCCUUGAAACGCUCUGUGUAUCAUUCGAUUCGCCGCUCGUGCAGAAUCCCAAUGGUUUUCUCAGAGAGCCUCGAGAUCGACCGGCGUGAGUCAUAGUCACCUUAUGCAGAUUGUAUAUAUGGGCAGAUCUCUAAUGAGCGCGACAGAAAAGUAUGAAUGAAAAAUGGUGACGUAACGGUUAACCACGUGUUACCAGGUACAGGAAACGUACACAAGAGCCGUCACUUACCGGCAAGUUGGUUUUUAUGAAUGAGCAACACAGUGUGCGCAUAUUAUUAUGCCUAUACGUCGUACGUUACACAUACGCUUAUCUCCGUGCGAUGCUCUGGCAGCCUACGCAUGAUAUUCGCAAAGCGACUGUUACAAAAAUAUUAUUUGCGAAUUCGAUUUCUUCACGGAUUUAUUCGCACGAUUGAUGGAUUUUUCGAAAUAAUUUUUUUUUUUUUUAAAUAUUGCUUUUUAAAAGCCAUUUUUUUUGGCGAUUAUAUACUUUUAAAGGUAUACGGGGUAAUGGCCAAUUUGAAUAAAAAUUUUGACACGAAUUUGACCUUUCCAUUAACCCCAUUAGUUGCGAAUUUUUUUUGCUAUGCUGUAUUGUUGCAAUGGUAUACUUUCUAACGUGCCGAUGCGUCUCCGUGUAACAAAAGAGCUUUUUCAGAAGCUAAUAGGUUGCACGUAGGUGCACGUGGGACCAUAUUUGGGCGCGUCGCCCACGUUCGCGAAUUUGCAAAAAUUUGCACGACCCACGCUAAAGGCAGAUGUUACCAGAUGGGUUUGCGAUGGUGAAGACUGAAAUUUGAAAUGGUUGAAAGAUUUUUUAGAAAUUUUUAUUUUCGCCAAUUACGAUUUUGCACGU